UACGUAGGGGCCAAGCGUUGUCCGGAUUUAUUAGGCGUAAAGAGCUCGUAGGCGGUUGGGUAAGUCGGGUGUGAAAACUCCAGGCUCAACUUGGAGAUGCCACCCGAUACUGCUCUGACUUGAGUUCGGUAGGGGAGUGGGGAAUUCCUGGUGUAGCGGUGAAAUGCGCAGAUAUCAGGAGGAACACCGGUGGCGAAGGCGCCACUCUGGGCCGAAACUGACGCUGAGGAGCGAAAGCGUGGGUAGCAAACAGG
rnacentral:rRNA from 1 species